CCUACGGGUGGCAGCAGUCGAGAAUCAUUCACAAUGGGGGAAACCCUGAUGGUGCGACGCCGCGUGGGGGAAUGAAGGUCUUCGGAUUGUAAACCCCUGUCAUGUGGGAGCAAAUUAAAAAGAUAGUACCACAAGAGGAAGAGACGGCUAACUCUGUGCCAGCAGCCGCGGUAAUACAGAGGUCUCAAGCGUUGUUCGGAAUCACUGGGCGUAAAGCGUGCGUAGGCUGUUUCGUAAGUCGGGUGUGCAAGGCGCGGGCUCAACCCGCGGACGGCACAUGAUACUGCGGGACUAGAGGAAUGGAGGGGGAACCGGAAUUCUCGGUGUAGGAGUGAAAUGCGUAGAUAUCGAGAGGAACACUCGUGGCGAAGGUGGGUUCCAGGACAUUAACUGACGCGGAGGCACGAAGGCCAGGGGAGCGAAAGGGAUUAGAUACCCCUGUAGUC
rnacentral:rRNA from 1 species